rnacentral:lncRNA from 1 species
CUCUCUGCUCUCUCCACAUACCCAAGGGGAAGAGGAAGUGUUAGACUCAUCUGUUCUCCCUCAUGGGGUAGCUCAGGGUUUCACAAAGUGUGUUCUGUGAGGCAUAAAGGAUCAAGAAGUGAUAAAAAAAAAUUCCAUGAAAAAAUCAUUAUUUUGAUAAAUAAAUUAAGGAAAGACUAGAUUAAACAAAGUUAAAUGGUUCCUCACUGCAGGGUCUCUCUGAGUCUUUAGUUUGAUGCUGUGUAUUACGCACUCACUUGAGGGGCUAUGGCAUGAAGAAAUUUUCAAACUUAUUGGACCUAAAAACCCAUUUUUUAUGAACAACCAAGAAUAUGUCUUAGAACACUAGGAUUCCCAGGAAUCAUUUUGUAAACUGUUAAUAUGUGGGGGAUUUGCCUUUCAAAGAGGACUCCCCACAAGAAGGGAGUAAUGUUUACUGCUACAGGAUUUAUGCCAUGCUAUGGUUUCAAUGUUUGUGUCCCCCCAGUUUCUAUGUUGAAAUCCUAAUCCUCAAAGUGAUGGUAUUAGAAGGUGGGGCCUUUGGGAGGUGAUUAAGUCAUGGGUCUGGAGCUCUCAUGAAUAUUAGUGCCUUUAUAAAAGAGGCCACAGAGAGCUAGCUAGCCCCUUCCACCAUGUGAAGAUACAUGAGAAGGGGCUAUAUAUGAGCCAGAAAGAGGCUCUCACUAGACACCAAACCUGCGGGUGCCAUGAUCUUGGGUUUCCCAGACUCUAGAACUAUAAAGAAAUCAAUUUCUGUUUGUAAGCCACCCAGACUAAGACAUUUUGUUAUAGCAGCCUCAAUGGACUGAGACAUGCUACCAUACAGAAUUUCAGUUAUCAGUGGGCAGUUGGGGGAAUUCUUCCAACAGCCUCAGAAUGUCCGCUUUUCCCCAUUGGGCUUAAGAGGGAAGUUGAGAGAGGGCUUCCGGUAAGAGGCAGUUAGUAGGGUUAGUUCCUGCUGAUCAACAGAGCAAAAUAAACAAGAGGCAGGGGAUUUGGGAACUUCUUUCACAAAGGGCUGAAAGAACAAACACAUGGAGGAAAAACAUGAAACUUCCAAGAGUACAGUCCUAUGAGCAAAAACUCAGACAUCUUUGAGCGAUAGAAGAGACAACUGGGCCGGGGGCCAGUUCAGUGCGGACCUACAUUUCAACCACCAUGAUGAAGCCAUUGUGACAAGGCACCAUCAAUCAUCAUGUCCCUUUACCAGGAGGGCCCGUGUCAUAAGCCACUAUAUAAAGGGAAUGAUGGGUGGACUGCUUUGGACAAAUGGACCUGCGGUAGGAGAGAGGGACAACAGUAGGAGCAGGCAGAUCUUGCUGUUUCAACCAAAACCUCAUGCUGACCAGAGUUGAGGAACAGAAGAAGAUGGUGAAGGCCUGCAGGUAUAGGUGUUCAGCAUGUCAUCUGAAAUAUUCCCCACAGAGGCAAAAAGAAAGGAAAUUAUCUCUGAAAAGGAAUGGGAGGACAAGUCAGCAGAAUAUGUCAAUGUUUUGGUUGAAGAAGCUGCUUGAAUCUGGGCUUUUCUGUGCCAUGUGUUCUCCCAGGGCCAGCACAAAGAAGGGCUUUUGGUGCAGGCCCAAGACCACCAUAAUCAUCAUUGAUUAUUCCUCUCCACGCCAGUGUCUCUAAAUAAACUUUCUCUUCUUUCUCUG